rnacentral:lncRNA from 1 species
GAAAAUUAGCCAAAUCAAAAGCAUAGACUGCCCUAAUUAAACAACACAGAAAAGAGAAAAGGAAGGGAUCUCCCUGAUGCUGCCAGCGAUCGGAAAUCAGCUCGCAUACACUGCUCGGCGGCUCCACAUGAAUUAGAACUGGCUUUGUAGUGUCCUCGGGCAGCGAAUCUAGUUGUCGCUUGCACGCGCGUGCUUGGAUGGAACACCUUCAGCCAGGAACCUACGACGCAUGCGUAUAGCACGCCCUCACGAGUUGUGUCCGUUGCUUAGUUUGUAGCAGACCUCGGUUCUGACGUACAACCAGGCGCGCACCCAGCCGCCACCGCUCGGAUUUUCUCGAUCUCAAUCUGACUGUAAACAAAGUCGCACAAAGCAGCAACCAUAAUCUUGCAAAAUAAACAGUUUAAGCGGAAUAGAUCUAACUCAAAAAAUAUCACCUGAUCAUUCAUCAAUCCGUGACGAUCGCCCAACAGGUUCUAAGCUAGGCAAUUUAAAGCGAUGGUAACAUGGACACGGGAUUUUAUUCAGGUUUGGACUCUCGCAAGUAGAUGAUUCCCGAUGUCCAGCUUUUGACUGUAUUGAUAUGGG